UACGUAGGGUGCGAGCGUUAAUCGGAAUUACUGGGCGUAAAGCGUGCGCAGGCGGUUUUGUAAGCCAGAUGUGAAAUCCCCGGGCUUAACCUGGGAAUGGCAUUCGGGACUGCAAGGCUGGAGUGCGGCAGAGGAGACUGGAAUUCCUGGUGUAGCAGUGAAAUGCGUAGAUAUCAGGAGGAACACCGAUGGCGAAGGCAGGUCUCUGGGCUGACACUGACGCUCAUGCACGAAAGCGUGGGGAGCAAACAGG
rnacentral:rRNA from 1 species